rnacentral:ncRNA from 2 species
GUCUUCGAGGAGCGUUGCGACGGGCAAACGGCUGAAAAACACCGCCCGCCAGGCUCGAAGGCUUUCAAUUCGGAAGAAGUGUAUGAGUGGAUGCGUGCCGCCCCACCACUCUCCCGCAUCGAACGGCGCUCACGUCAA